GGAGGGUUACCCAAGCGGUCAACGGGGGCAGACUGUAAAUCUGCUGGCACAGCCUUCGGAGGUUCGAAUCCUCCACCCUCCACCA
rnacentral:tRNA from 2 species